GAUGAACGCUGGCGGCGUGCUUAACACAUGCAAGUCGAACGAUUGAAGCUGGAGCUUGCUCCGGCCGAUUUAGUGGCGGACGGGUGAGUAACGCGUGGGUAACCUGCCUCAUACAGGGGGAUAGCAGUUGGAAACGACUGGUAAAACCGCAUAAGCGCACGGUGUCGCAUGACACAGUGUGAAAACACUCCGGUGGUAUGAGAUGGACCCGCGUCUGAUUAGAUAGUUGGUGGGGUAACGGCCUACCAAGUCGACGAUCAGUAGCCGGACUGAGAGGUUGAACGGCCACAUUGGGACUGAGAUACGGCCCAGACUCCUACGGGAGGCAGCAGUGGGGAAUAUUGGGCAAUGGGCGCAAGCCUGACCCAGCAACGCCGCGUGAAGGAAGAAGGCCCUCGGGUUGUAAACUUCUUUUGUCAGGGACGAAGCAAGUGACGGUACCUGACGAAUAAGCCACGGCUAACUACGUG
rnacentral:rRNA from 1 species